rfam:Ovis aries breed Texel chromosome 3, whole genome shotgun sequence.
GUCUGUGGCCACACCACCCUGAACUCACCCAAUCUCAUCUGAUCUCAGAAGCUAAGCAGGGUCAGCCCUGGUUAGUACUUGGAUGGGAGUAACAUUCAUGGUUAUCAUUAGUG